rnacentral:rRNA from 1 species
AGUGAACGCUGGCGGCGUGCCUAAUACAUGCAAGUCGAACGAAGUGGCGCACGGGUGAGUAAUAUAUAGUUAAUCUGCCCUACACAGAGGAACAACAGUUGGAAACGACUGCUAAUACCUCAUAGUGUAGGAUGAGACUAUAUCGUAUCAGCUAGUUGGUAAGGUAAUGGCUUACCAAGGCGAUGACGCGUAACUGGUCUGGGAGGGUGAUCAGACACAUUGGAACGGAGACACCGGCCGAACUCCUUCGGGAGGCAGCAGUAAGGAAUAUUGCGAAAUGGGGGAAACCCUGAUGCAGCAACGCCGCGUUAGGGGUGACGGCCUUCUGGUUGUAAACCUCUUUCACCCAUGACGCGGUGGAGGCAGAAGAAGCGCCGGCUAACUACGUGUCAGCAGUCGCGGUAAUUC